AUUGAACGCUGGCGGCAGGCCUAACACAUGCAAGUCGAGCGGAUGAAGGGAGCUUGCUCCUGGAUUCAGCGGCGGACGGGUGAGUAAUGCCUAGGAAUCUGCCUGGUAGUGGGGGAUAACGUCCGGAAACGGGCGCUAAUACCGCAUACGUCCUGAGGGAGAAAGUGGGGGAUCUUCGGACCUCACGCUAUCAGAUGAGCCUAGGUCGGAUUAGCUAGUUGGUGAGGUAAAGGCCUACCAAGGCGACGAUCCGUAACUGGUCUGAGAGGAUGAUCAGUCACACUGGAACUGAGACACGGUCUAGACUCCUACGGGAGGCAGCAGUGGGGAAUAUUGGACAAUGGGCGAAAGCCUGAUCCAGCCAUGCCGCGUGUGUGAAGAAGGUCUUCGGAUUGUAAAGCACUUUAAGUUGGGAGGAAGGGCAGUAAGUUAAUACCUUGCUGUUUUGACGUUACCAACAGAAUAAGCACCGGCUAACUUCGUG
rnacentral:rRNA from 1 species